GUGCAGAGUCGAUUGCGUUAUCGGUCGAUUCAACUGCGUGAAGAGAAGGUAGUUGCUCUUCAAUCGACACGGCCGUCUGCAAGCCGAAAUGGAAGGUGUUUCUGUAACGUCCAGGGAAUCACCAAGCAUCAAGAGAAGAAUUUCUGGGCUCAAAAUUAGCCAAAUGUUUCGAUGAGGAGACCCGCGCUACAAAGCCAUGAGGACAGGGACAAGAACUGAUGCAAUGCUGACAACCUGCAUCAGAAGCUGAUACUACCGGUAGUAGAGGAACCAACAGAACUGUUGACUAAGCAGGGAAGGAGACAUCUCUCGGCAGCUUCCAGGAUCCGCUACUAUUGUGAUCAACUACACAUUUCAUGGAAAGGGGUUUGCAGGCAAAAAAGUACACAUGUAAUUGAUUUGUGAUGCGGCAUUUUGUAAAUAAACUUUUGGAACUAAGCCCGUCAAGGUGAUUGGGCUUGUUUCGAUGCCAUCCUGAGUGAUACUGUUGGCUUGGGCCCGGGUUAGGGCAUUGUGAGGGUGGUGGCUACUAUUGUACACAGGGAUUUAGUCUGUUUCUGUGGGAUACAGGUCUGACGUAUGGUUGAUUUGGCUUCUGUGACUAUGCCGGGGGCUGGGAUUGAGUUCGGAGUUGCUGCAAAGUUCAGUCCUCUAAAAAACGUGACUUCCCUAAGUUUUGUUAGCCCGUGAUUAUUUACUAAUAGGUAUCUUGUACUGCCUGACUUUCUUUCUGCAUUAUGUGAUUGUCAGUGGGUCGGGAACCCUGACCAUUACAUAAGCUGCCUUGUGAAUGAAAUAAUGGG